GUGACGACUUGAUAACGACUGAGUCCGGCUGGUUGGAAAAUAAAUUUAAAACGAGAUUCCAGGUUACGAGAUUAAAGAAAUAAAGCAUUAAAUACUCAUGGAGGCCCGAUACAGACUAAUUAAAGUCUAAGUUGAGAUCUAACGUCUAGCACGUCACGUCUGGGUGUCACUUGGGGCACGUCAAUGUUCUUAUAAAAAUGUCGCGAUACGGAUAAGUCCCAUGCUACAUGUAGCAAUGCAUUGGAUUCAUGAAGGGCCAGUGAGUUCUCCUGUAAUCAGCUUGGAAAAUUAUGACAGCACAAAGAAAGUGCUGAGCGCUGAGGAACCGGUUAGGCGUUUACAAUUCAAGAUCAUUCAAAGAGUGUAUGCCCAUUAAGCGAUCAUAAAUCAAUCCACAAUAUUACAUGUAUGGCAUAGUUCUCAA